UAUAGGGCAAAACAACAUCCAUAAGAUUUAUGAAGAAAUAGAAUGUGAUAAGUAGAAAAAUAGUUUAGGUACAUACGUUAGUGAUUUCCCUCUAAAAACUAUAGGGGGAGCCACAGCAGCAAAGAUGCAGAAGCCGAUGUGAACC